GUCGGUCCGCACGCAGGCGGCCGAUUGCGUCACCGCGUACCUAGAGGAUCCAGUUCUGCCCAGAAGCCAGACCUAACUCUAAUUGGAGAUCUGCACUCCCAGGCAGUGGGAACCAGGAAAAGCACAUUUAUUCAUAGGGAGCUUCAAACGGGGAGCAACCCAAAUGCAACGGAUAAACUGUGGUAUGCCCUGGGAACACCACUCGGCAAGAAAAAGGGACGAACUACUGAUAAUCAUAACAUACAUGGAUCCCAGAUGCAUUACACUAAGUGAAAGCAGACGGACCUAAGGGCCACGCACUCUAUGAUUCUAUUUAUAUGAUAUUCUGGAAAAGACAAGACUAGGCAGAUGGCAAACAGAUGAUCCUGUCAAUCUCCUCCAUAUAAGCAGCCAAGUCAUUCCAGGGCUCUACGGCCUGCGGAAGCAGCACUGCUUGAGACCAGGCUUAAUCAUACCUCUGAUCCUCGGAUGAGCCAGACGGUAAAGGACUUCAAAAUGUGCAAAAAGAGACGUCCUCCCGGAGCAUUGGAGCAUCCAGGCUCUGUGAAGCACCUUUCAGGUGACCCACGAGUCCCACCUGCUCAACAGCCCCACAAGGAGAACACAAUUCAGGUUUCAAAUAAGAACCAUCAGUGGCAUCCAGUGGCAUCCGGCCCAAACUGCCACCCGCUGGGCCGGCUUGUCAGGUGGUCAGUGGGCCCCGCUCCCUCUGCAGCCGCUGGCCUGGCCAGGCCCUCAUGCUCUACUGGGCGGAGAGUCCCCGGAGGAAGUGAACGUCAGCAACCGCUUACUCAGCAGGGCGUUGUGUCGCUUCAGGUGGGCGAUGACGUCUCCCUGCUUUUCGACGAUGUCUUCCAGGCUUGAGACGGUCCUGCACAGAAUCAACACGGUGACGGGUGGCACCUGCCAACCAGUGCUCAGUAGUCUCUGCAAAGGGGUUCCUCCCAGCUUGCAGAGCACUGCGCUGUAUUUGGGACCUUCUCCUUGACGUCGUAAGCCAAGGGAAAUACUCCAAAAUGAGAUCCUUUCGUUAGACUUUGUUUUAUCACAGUUGAAUGGGAGUAAGCAAGUCAAACUGAAUUCUAAAGGCACAUCUGCACAACUAUAAACGAGCAGUGGAAUGUUUUCUAGAUUUCCGGGGGCGGGGUGGGGAGCCCUACAAUUCUUUUUUUCUAGUCUUUCAUUCCUCCCCCCCCCCACUCAACGCUUACCUGAAUCCAGUCUCCGAGGUGAUAUUGCUGGGGUAAGCAUAGAUUUUUUCCUCUUCAAGUACAUCCGGCUGUGGUUUGGCUUUAUUAAAUUUUCGAAUUUUCACUAAAAUAAUAAAGUCAUCAUUGUCAGGUUAUCUAAUCACGAAAAACAUUUUUUUGCUCCCGUUUAUUCAAAUUACAUUAAUUGGCCAUGCUUUUCAAGUAAGUUAAUAUGGACAAAAAUGCUUCAUAAGGUGAAUACACAGGUUUGUUUAUGGAUUUACUCAAACCUUUGAAAGUCUAUGUGCCAGGCCUGUACUAAACACUGGGAAUCCGGACAGUAUCAUUGUUGAUAAUAAUAACAGCUAUGAAUUUUUUUGGGUGAAUUUAAAACACAGAAGGCACAGGUGAACUAUUGUGUAUGGA